UUUAACAAGUAAAWGGCUGCAUAAAUCUGAGUGUACUAAGGUAGCGCUAUAAUUUGCCCUUUAAAUGGGGGCUGGUAUGAAGGGGUUCACGUGAGAGUUGCUGUGUCACAAAAAAAAUAUUGAAAUUAACCUUUAGGUGAAGAGGCCUAACUAGAAUUAAAGGACGACAAGACCCUAGAAGCUUUACUAAGAAUAGGCUAUAAAUUAACUUAUUUUAGUUUUGUUGGGGCAACAUAGUUAAAAAAUAUAGCUUAUAAAUUUUAGACUCACAAGUUAAAACCACAGUGGUGAAUAAGAUAAGCUACUCUAGGGAUAACAGCGUUAUUUUUUUUAAUAGUACGUAUUGUAAAAAAAGUUUGCGACCUCGAUGUUGGACUAAGGUGUCCUUAAGGCGCAGAAGCCUUAAAGGGUUGGCCUGUUCGUCCAUUAAAACCUUACA
rnacentral:rRNA from 1 species